UACGUAGGCAGCGAGCGUUGUUCGGAGUUACUGGGCGUAAAGGGUGUGUAGGCGGUUUUUUAAGUUUGGUGUGAAAUCUCCCGGCUCAACCGGGAGGGUGCGCCGAAAACUGGGAGACUAGAGUGCGGGAUGGGAGAGUAGAAUUCCUGGUGUAGCGGUGAAAUGCGUAGAUAUCAGGAGGAACACCGGUGGCGAAGGCGGGUCUCUGGGCCGAUACUGACGCUGAGGAGCGAAAGCGUGGGGAGCGAACAGG
rnacentral:rRNA from 1 species